rnacentral:rRNA from 1 species
AUUGAACGCUGGCGGCAGGCCUAACAUAUGCAAGUCGAGCGGAUGAAGGGAGCUUGCUCCUGGAUUCAGCGGCGGACGGGUGAGUAAUGCCUAGGAAUCUGCCUGGUAGUGGGGGAUAACGUCCGGAAACGGGCGCUAAUACCGCAUACGUCCUGAGGGAGAAAGUGGGGGAUCUUCGGACCUCACGCUAUCAGAUGAGCCUAGGUCGGAUUAGCUAGUUGGUGGGGUAAAGGCCUACCAAGGCGACGAUCCGUAACUGGUCUGAGAGGAUGAUCAGUCACACUGGAACUGAGACACGGUCCAGACUCCUACGGGAGGCAGCAGUGGGGAAUAUUGGACAAUGGGCGAAAGCCUGAUCCAGCCAUGCCGCGUGUGUGAAGAAGGUCUUCGGAUUGUAAAGCACUUUAAGUUGGGAGGAAGGGCAGUAAGUUAAUACCUUGCUGUUUUGACGUUACCAACAGAAUAAGCACCGGCUAACUUCGU